rnacentral:rRNA from 1 species
ACGGAAGGCAGCAGUGGGGAAUAUUGGGCAAUGGGGGAAACCCUGACCCAGCAACGCCGCGUGAAGGAAGAAGGCUUUCGGGUUGUAAACUUCUUUUACCAGGGACGAAGGACGUGACGGUACCUGGAGAAAAAGCCACGGCUAACUACGUGCCAGCAGCCGCGGUAAUACGUAGAUGGCAAGCGUUGUCCGGAUUUACUGGGUGUAAAGGGCGUGUAGGCGGAGAUGCAAGUCAGAAGUGAAAUCUAGGGGCUCAACCCCUAAACUGCUUUUGAAACUGUAUCCCUUGAGUAUCGGAGAGGCAGGCGGAAUUCCCAGUGUAGCGGUGAAAUGCGUAGAUAUUGGGAGGAACACCAGUGGCGAAGGCGACUUACUGGACUGUUACUGACGCUGAGGCGCGAAAGUGUGGGGAGCAAACAGGAUUAGAUACCCUGGUA